CGGCCUGCGGCGGAAUGUUGCGUAAAGGGAAAGGUCGUAUUCAAACCCUUCAGCCACGCGAGCGCUAAGUCAGCCACGAAUUGGCUAGCCCGACUAACGGAGGGUAGACUCCACGGAGGGUGUAAGACCCGUAUGAGCGCGUGUUUAAAGCUGAAUGGGGAAGGCCUCUAUUCCCUGAGAGUCGCGUUGCUUUGGCAUGCAGCGCUAAGCAGGUCGUAAACUCGAUCUAAGGCUAAAUAUAUCCACAGGACCGAUAGCGAACAAGUACCGUGAGGGAAAGUUGAAAAGCACUCUGAAGAGAGAGUCAAAAGACCGUGAAACCGCUCAGAGUAUAAGCCCAUGGAGUUCGGAAGGCAUACCGCCGUUGAGAUAUUGACGACAUGAAAGAAAGGUCGAUCAGGCAAGGGGCAUUGAGUUGAUUACCCUUCCGACGUGCGGGAUUGAGUGUGGGCGUGAGACUACGGUGUAGCGUCCUCCUCUCUCUUGAUUUGCACGGAUCGUCAAGGUUACAUGUCGAAGGCGGGAACUGCCCACCACGGCUCGUUGUGAGGUCACCCACAGGCUCAACUGUCGAUUGCGUGUUCUCCUCGCUUAGCACUGGAGUGUCGUUGAUCCAUCUUGAGGUGGUGGCUGGACACGCGCGGCGAGGCUGACUCUAAAUGAACCGAACGAUGACCGAGAUAAACCUGGUAUGAUCCUCGUGCGACGAGCCGCUUUCUGGCCAGAGUUGCAUCCAGGCCUCGUCUCCUUUGCCGAGCGAGGCUCCAUUCCAGGGCGGCCUGCGUCCUCUGUCGUCUUCCCGCCUGCUGGCGGGGAUUCGUCACGGCCUCCGCUGGGUGCUUCUCUGAGUGGUGUUAAGUCCGAUACCAUCGGUCACGUCUCGAAACACGGGCCAAGGAGUAUAGCAUGUGUGCGAGUCUAAGGGUCUCUCAAAACCCGGAGGCGAAAGUGAAAGCAAGGUUGUGNNNNNNNANCCCCUCACGGGGCAAAACCUCGUCAGCCGCGGCGCCACUUGUGGCGCUCGGCUUGAGCAAGAGCUGAUACUACUAUUACGGAUAAGUCCUGAGGUAGUCGCAAGCUCCGGGCUCGCGUACAGCACUGGUCGCUUGCGGCUGUGUUGCGAGCACCGNGAAGCANGCAUGCUAUGACCCGAAAGAUAGUGAACUAUGCCNGGNGAGGGCGAAGCCCCAGGAAACUGGGGUGGAGGCCCGUAGC
rnacentral:rRNA from 1 species